GGGCGUAUAGCUCAGUGGUAGAGCAUUUGACUGCAGAUCAAGAGGUCCCCAGUAGGAGCAUAUAAAUAUUGAAAAAAAGGGGUCCUAGGCUUGAACCUU
rnacentral:tRNA from 1 species